UAAUCAGAGAAAUCCAAAUAAAUACUGUCUAUACCAUCGAGAUCAUGAUCAUGACAUAGAAAAAUAUGUUCAACUCCAGGAUGAGAUUGAAGAUUUUGUCAGGCAUGGUCGUCUCAAUCGAUUCAUCCGAUGAAGGAAGGAGCAGCAGGAAGAACACCAGAGAUAUCCUCAACCAACAGAGCAACCAUAGUGGGCAGGACCACAAGAAGAUCAACCCCC
rnacentral:lncRNA from 1 species